rnacentral:tRNA from 2 species
GCCGGGGUAGCUCAGCCUGGUUGGAGCGCUCGACUCAUAAUCGAGAGGUCCGGGGUUCAAUUCCCCGCCCCGGCACCA